rnacentral:rRNA from 1 species
ACUGAACGCUGGCGGCAUGCUUUACACAUGCAAGUCGAACGGUAACAGGGUGCUUGCACCGCUGACGAGUGGCGAACGGGUGAGUAAUGCGUCGGAACGUGCCGAGUAGUGGGGGAUAACGCAGCGAAAGUUGUUCUAAUACCGCAUACGUACUGAGGUAGAAAGUGGGGGACCUUCGGGCCUCACGCUAUUCGAGCGGCCGACGUCUGAUUAGCUAGUAGGUGAGGUAAAGGCUCACCUAGGCGACGAUCAGUAGCGGGUCUGAGAGGAUGAUCCGCCACACUGGGACUGAGACACGGCCCAGACUCCUACGGGAGGCAGCAGUGGGGAAUUUUGGACAAUGGGCGAAAGCCUGAUCCAGCCAUGCCGCGUGUCUGAAGAAGGCCUUCGGGUUGUAAAGGACUUUUGUCGGGGAGGAAAUCCCCAGCGUUAAUACCGCUGGGGGAUGACAGUACCUGAAGAAUAAGCACCGGCUAACUACGUGCCAGCCGCCGCGGUAAGAC